AUUUUAAUAUAUUAUGAACUCAUGUAUUUAAACAUAUUUGAUGUUUUAAACCAUUGCAGUUCUCUUUAUUGAUGCUUAAAUUGUGUCAUCUUUAACAGUGAGAACCAAUUCAAAUGUUGGCUCUUGGAUCCUUUUGAGUUGUUUUUCAUAGCUGCCUUGUUUUCCAGUAUGACAAAAUGUUCCAUGCUCAUAUUGUACAUUUCCUGCCCCAUAGGUGAAAUCUCCCAUUUCUUCAAGGAUUUUUAGUUCCUUUUAGUAGGAAAUGGGAGUGUAGAGAUCACAUUCUGGGCAUUACUGGAUUGGUCAUUGUUUCUGGGCCUUUUCGGUAAACAAAGCUAGAUUUUGUUGCUGUUUUGUAGCUUUAUUUAAGAUAAAGUACUUUAGGAGUUCAUACUGAUACUUCCAAUUCAAGCCCAGAAUUUACUUAACUUCACUAAUCUUACAUGUAUACUGCCUUCUUGGAUUUUUUUCUGAUCACCUCAGCCAGAAGUGAUCACUCUUCCUUUGAACCACAUCACCCACUUCAACACUUUUAUAGUAAUCAACACAUUAACUUUUGAUUUAUUGUUAUUUCUAUAUAUGUCUGAUAUUCUCUACCAAAUGGUAAGGAAUUUGAGGAUAGAAUCCAUCCUUUGUUACCCUUUGUUAAAUAAAGAUAAAAUUCCUAAAGUGCUGAUAUAUUUCCUGACAUAUAAAUACCACUUUCUCUUUGUAUUCCUUUAAAAAUGGAACCAUAUUAUACAUGUACUAAAAAUUAAUAAAUGAGUGUUAAAUGAA
rnacentral:lncRNA from 10 species